UACGAAGGGAGCUAGCGUUACUCGGAAUUACUGGGCGUAAAGCGUGCGUAGGCGGCAUGGUAAGUUGGGAGUGAAAGCCCUGGGCUCAACCUAGGAAUGGCUCUCAAAACUACCAAGCUAGAAUACUUGAGAGGAUGGCGGAAUUCCUAAUGUAGAGGUGAAAUUCGUAGAUAUUAGGAGGAACACCGGAGGCGAAGGCGGCCAUCUGGCAAGAUAUUGACGCUGUUGCACGAGAGCGUGGGGAGCAAACAGG
rnacentral:rRNA from 1 species